rnacentral:rRNA from 1 species
CCGGGAAAAGGGUGCCCUAUACAUGCAGUCGAGCGAACAGAAAAGGAGCUUGCUCCUUUGACGUUAGCGGCGGACGGGUGAGUAACACGUGGGCAACCUACCCUAUAGUUUGGGAUAACUCCGGGAAACCGGGGCUAAUACCGAAUAAUCUCUUUUGCUUCAUGGUGAAAGACUGAAAGACGGUUUCGGCUGUCGCUAUAGGAUGGGCCCGCGGCGCAUUAGCUAGUUGGUGAGGUAACGGCUCACCAAGGCGACGAUGCGUAGCCGACCUGAGAGGGUGAUCGGCCACACUGGGACUGAGACACGGCCCAGACUCCUACGGGAGGCAGCAGUAGGGAAUCUUCCACAAUGGGCGAAAGCCUGAUGGAGCAACGCCGCGUGAGUGAAGAAGGUUUUCGGAUCGUAAAACUCUGUUGUAAGGGAAGAACAAGUACAGUAGUAACUGGCUGUACCUUGACGGUACCUUAUUAGAAAGCCACGGCUAACUACGUGCCAGCAGCCGGGGGGUAAUACA